rnacentral:rRNA from 1 species
UACAGAGGGGGCAAGCGUUGUUCGGAGUUACUGGGCGUAAAGGGUGUGUAGGCGGUUCUUUAAGUUUGGUGUGAAAUCUCCCGGCUCAACCGGGAGGGUGCGCCGAAUACUGAGGGACUAGAGUGCGGGAGAGGAAAGUGGAAUUCCUGGUGUAGCGGUGAAAUGCGUAGAUAUCAGGAGGAACACCGGUGGUGUAGACGGCUUUCUGGACCGUAACUGACGCUGAGACACGAAAGCGUGGGUAGCAAACAGG